AAAGACUCUCGGCAACGGAUAUCUCGGCUCUUGCAUCGAUGAAGAACGUAGCGAAAUGCGAUACUUGGUGUGAAUUGCAGAAUCCCGUGAACCAUCGAGUCUUUGAACGCAAGUUGCGCCCGAAGCCAUUAGGCUGAGGGCACGCCUGCCUGGGUGUUGCAAAU
rnacentral:rRNA from 1 species